rnacentral:rRNA from 1 species
GAUGAACGCUGGCGGCGUGCCUAAUACAUGCAAGUCGAGCGAACAGACGAGGAGCUUGCUCCUCUGACGUUAGCGGCGGACGGGUGAGUAACACGUGGAUAACCUACCUAUAAGACUGGGAUAACUUCGGGAAACCGGAGCUAAUACCGGAUAAUAUAUUGAACCGCAUGGUUCAAUAGUGAAAGACGGUUUUGCUGUCACUUAUAGAUGGAUCCGCGCCGCAUUAGCUAGUUGGUAAGGUAACGGCUUACCAAGGCAACGAUGCGUAGCCGACCUGAGAGGGGGAUCGGCCACACUGGAGCUGAGACACGGCACAGACUCCGACGGGAGGCAGCAGUAGGGAAUCUUCCGCAAUGGGCGAAAGCUUGACGGAGCAACGCCGCGUGGAUGAUGAAGGUCUGCGGAUCGUAAAACUCUGUUAUUAGGGAAGAACAAAUGUGUAAGUAACUAUGCACGUCUGGACGGUACCUAAUCAGAAAGCCACGGCUAACUACGU